rnacentral:rRNA from 1 species
GACGAACGCUGGCGGCGUGCUUAACACAUGCAAGUCGAACGAAGUGGCGAACGGGUGAGUAACGCGUAAGCAACCUGCCCUUCAGAGGGGGAAAACAGUGGGAAACGACUGCUAAUACCGCAAACUGAAUGCGGGGUAUGCGUGUGAUUAGCUCGUUGGAGGGGUAACGGCCCACCAAGGCGAUGAUCAGUAGCCGGUCCGAGAGGAUGAACGGCCAAAUUGGGACUGAGACACGGCCCAGACUCCUACGGGAGGGAGCAGUGGGGAAUCUUCCGCAAUGGACGAAAGUCUGACGGAGCAACGCCGCGUGAGUGAUGACGGCCUUCGGGUUGUAAAGCUCUGUUAAUCGGGACGCGGUACCGGAAUAGAAAGCCACGGCUAACUACGUGCCAGCAGCCGCGGUAAUAC